UAUAUAUCUAUAGAACCCAAUGAAUGUACAUGGCAGACCUGGCCCAGCCAUGGUUCCGUCAUGGUGGGAUCGAGUGGUAGAACCAAAGUGGGUGCCCUGGGGUGCUCAUUCACCCUGUGUGAGCACAGCUGACCUGAGGGUGCUCGGUGGGUGCCCUUGGGUAGCCAGGGAAGGCUGUCACUUGUGGCAGGCAUAAUGGCAGCCUCGAAGCCCAGGUGGAGCCCCGGCUGGUCGUUCAGGGAAUAGACAGUGUAAGUAGGGGGUGUGUAGGAGGGACACAGGCUGAAAGGAAAAAUAGAAAAAAAACAAAAAAAAAAAACCAAAACCACAAAAACCAACAAAAAAAAAAAAAAGAAAAAGCAAAAUCCUAUUUUUUGAGAAAGAAAGAUAUUUAUAUUUGCAGUUUUAUUUUAAAAAGUUAUUUAAGCUGAGGAAACGGCCUUCCCGGAGUUCGGGGUGGCUGGCACCGGACGGGUCAGGGGUCUUGGGGGGCUCCUCACCCCAGGAAUGAUUAUCUCAGUUCAGAACUAGCUCGCACUAAAUAUAUAUUGAUUUACCUUUGUGGGGGGCAGGGGGGCCAAGAGACAGAGGGUCAGGGGAGCCCCGCCCCAGGCCCAGAAUGAGGUGCCUUGGAAUUUGGGGGCCCAGGCCUGGUUCAUGGGGGUCCAGAGCACAGAACAGACAUUCCACUGACUGGAUGUAAGAAUCUUUAUAAAAAGUGUGGGAGGCAGAACGAAAAAAAAAUCAAUUGAUUAAAGGAAAAUGCACUUUUUUGGGGGUGGGGGGACAAGCUUUAAAAGUAAUUAAAAAACAAAAGAUUAUGAAAAAUCCGAAAAAAUAGAAUUCAUUUUUCUUGUACAUAAAAGAAAAACCCAACCACUAAAUGCAGCCUGUUACG
rnacentral:lncRNA from 1 species